GACGAACGCUGGCGGCGUGCUUAACACAUGCAAGUCGAACGGAAAGGCCCUGCUUUUGUGGGGUGCUCGAGUGGCGAACGGGUGAGUAACACGUGAGUAACCUGCCCUUGACUUUGGGAUAACUUCAGGAAACUGGGGCUAAUACCGGAUAGGAGCUCCUGCUGCAUGGUGGGGGUUGGAAAGUUUCGGCGGUUGGGGAUGGACUCGCGGCUUAUCAGCUUGUUGGUGGGGUAGUGGCUUACCAAGGCUUUGACGGGUAGCCGGCCUGAGAGGGUGACCGGCCACAUUGGGACUGAGAUACGGCCCAGACUCAUACGGGAGGCAGCAGUGGGGAAUAGUGCACAAUGGGCGGAAGCCUGAAGCAGCAACGCCGCGUGCGGGAUGACGGCCUUCGGGUUGUAAACCGCUUUCGCCUGUGACGAAGCGUGAGUGACGGUAAUGGGUAAAGAAGCACCGGCUAACUACGUG
rnacentral:rRNA from 1 species